rnacentral:rRNA from 1 species
GAUGAACGCUGGCGGUGUGCCUAAUACAUGCAAGUCGAGCGAACAGACGAGGAGCUUACUCCUCUGACGUUAGCGGCGGACGGGUGAGUAACACGUGGAUAACCUACCUAUAAGACUGGGAUAACUUCGGGAAACCGGAGCUAAUACCGGAUAACAUGUUGAACCGCAUGGUUCAACAGUGAAAGACGGUCUUGCUGUCACUUAUAGAUGGAUCCGCGUCGCAUUAGCUAGUUGGUAAGGUAACGGCUUACCAAGGCAACGAUGCGUAGCCGACCUGAGAGGGUGAUCGGCCACACUGGAACUGAGACACGGUCCAGACUCCUACGGGAGGCAGCAGUAGGGAAUCUUCCGCAAUGGGCGAAAGCCUGACGGGGCAACGCCGCGUGAGUGAAGAAGGUCUUCGGAUCGUAAAACUCUGUUAUUAGGGAAGAACAAAUGUGUAAGUAACUAUGCACGUCUUGACGGUACCUAAUCAGAAAGCCACGGCUAACUACGUG